GGUGAACGCUGGCGGCGUGCCUAACACAUGCAAGUCGAGCGGUGCAGUUUGAAGCUUCGGUGGAAAGCUGCAUAGCGGCGGACGGGUGAGGAAAACGUAGGAACGUGCCCCUUGGAGUUGGAUAGCCACGGGAAACUGUGGGUAAACCGACAUAGACUCGAGAGAGUAAAGGCCGAAAGGCGCCAAGGGAGCGGCCUGCGGCCCAUCAGGUAGUUGGUAGUGUAAAGGACUACCAAGCCGACGACGGGUAGCCGGUCUGAGAGGAUGGCCGGCCACAAGGGCACUGAGAGACGGGCCCUACUCCUACGGGAGGCAGCAGUGGGGGAUUUUGGACAAUGGGCGAAAGCCUGAUCCAGCGACGCCGCGUGGAGGACGAAGCCUUCGGGGUGUAAAGCACUUUUAGAGAGGAUGAGGAAGGACGGUACGUCUCAGAAUAAGUCUCGGCUAACUACGUGCCAGCAGCCGCGGUAACUAGUCUACG
rnacentral:rRNA from 1 species